UGGGGAUUGAACUCUGGACCUUGCACUUGUGAAUCAGGCACCGGAACCACUGAGCUAAAUCCUCGGCCCCUUUUCUUUCUUUUUGUUUUUGUGUUUUUUUGUGGUGUUUUUUUUUGGUAUCGGGGAUCAAACUCGGGACUUUGUGCUUGUAAGGCAGGCAGCAGAACCACUGAGGACUGAGGCACCUUCGUUCCACCCACGCAGGGUCACAGUCUCAUAUUCCCAGAGGAGGAGCUGGCAAGGGAGGUGGGGCUCAGAUACAGUCCCCAGGAAAGGAAGCUGCGUGCACUGGAUUGACCCAAAAGAAAUAUCUGCUCUGUGGUUGUGGGAAACGAAGCUCCAAGAUGAAACAUUCCUGCCAGCCCACCCAAACCAACCAGCCCUACAUGUGAUUUUGGUGAAUAAACUUCAAUUACAGAAAAAGAUCUGGAAGGUAUUACAGUUUCUCUGUCUUCCUUUCCGAACAAUGGGCCAGAGAUGAGGUGAAGUGUGGUGUAGCCUGUGCAUAUUCAAGAAUUUUUCCUCUGUGUAAUUCGAAACUGUCCUCGAGGCUGCAGCAGGAAAGUAGAGAACCUUUGCCCCUGAUGACGAUUACAAGAAUGGAUGCCAGUUAGCCAGACCAGAUAUAAUUUCUGCAGACUGGGUAAAUUUGGAACCCUAAGGAGAAUCCUAUGAAGAGACACAGAGCUGGACAGAAAACCUCGAGAUGGUCCCAUGAAACGCGAGUCUGGCUGCCUCAUUUACCUUCAGAGAGGAGCACUCAGGACUUGGCCAGUUUUUAAGGGAGAAUUGUGUAUGUACAAACCUGGAGGUACAAAUGAUUUAGGAGGAGAAUUGUCCUACACUGCACACCAUAUUUAAAAUUUUGAAGAAGUUUCUAGAAUCUGUAAUGAAUAUAUUGAUUCAAAUAUAAAUUCACUUAUUUAAAUAUAUUUCAUGUAUCAACAUCCCAUUUUUACUUUCUCCUUCUAUUCUUCCCUUCAACAAAGGACCAUUUUGUACUUUGGGCUCUUGGAUCAGCUACCGACCAGGGCUUCUAGUUGCAUAGAGGCCAUUUCUUCAAUUACAUUUGCUUAUUGUUGUGUAAACGUUAUCAUUCAGUAACUAAAGAUCCCAAUGAGAUGAGAC
rnacentral:lncRNA from 1 species